UGGACACACUGACUUAGGAAAGAUAACUCUGUUGCUUCUGCUCACACAAUUGAAUGUUUCUGUGUUUGGUUGUGCUCUCUGUCUGAAUCGCAGAGUUUCACCAUGCAUGGUUGCAUUUAUGGGGCAGCUGUGUGCUGGGGCAGAUUUGAAGCCACGUGCUUCUGACUCAGAACAUGAGUUAAUAUGCAACUUCAGAAACUGAAUCUAGGUUGACGUUUCAAUGCCACGUUCUCAGAGAUGGUUUUUGGAUGAGACAUCAGUUUGGGUUUCAUUAGUAUGGUCCAGAUUUAUUUUUCAACAGAAGAAAAAGAUGAUCUGACCUUCUUCAUGUUGCACUUAUAAAAAAAACUAAACCUGGGCUAUAUGAAAUCUAGUUGCAAUGCUUUUUCGAUGACAAUAAAGACCACUUUCAGAAGUGUUUGAAAACUUGUGAGACAACUAAAGCCCAAGAGAAACACACUUUUCCAUUCAGUGUCCUGGAAAUUAUCUAGGUACAACAAAGUGCUGAAUAGUAUGAUCCAGAAGCCUUUUCCAGUCAGAUUUCCAGUUGACUAGUCACUGUUGAAGCCAAUCCUGCAAGUUUAAUUCCUGUCAAGUUAGCAUUGCAACAGCAUGCUAAUCACAUUAUAGGACAGCAACAUGAAUGUGUCUGAGAGAUGUUGACUGCCAUUCAGCCAGAGCUAAAGUGAUUUCAGAACGAUAAGGAACAUUUUUAUUCCUUUGUACAAUCAACUGCAGCAAUUUAAAUGGCAUAUCUACUGAGUACGCCCGCAAGAAAAUGCAUCUCUGGUGACGCAUUUGUACUUUGAGAAAUUUACUUUGAACUUUGAAGCAGAAGUGGUCUUCAGCUCAGAGAUAUGCAACUGCAUCAGAAAAGCAGGGUUCUUUUGAAGAUCUUGGCCCAGAGUUACACGUUGACUGUGGUUCUUUGUGGGAACGGGACCCCCUAUCGGGAUUUCAUAACCGACCAUUGCUGUUCGGCAUGCCAAGGGCUCAGCCUAAGAGUCCAGCUCAGCUUUGAAGGCCUAGGAUCUCAGGGCUCUGGAGGUGGGCAGAUUGAGGGGUCAGUGUCAUGGCAGGAGACCCCUGUGUUGUCAGGGGAGUCUGAGGCUGUGUGCCCAGAGACCCAAGAUCUUUGAGAUCUUCUGGCAGAGCUCAAAAAAAGUGACUUAACGGACUUUGAACAUCAUAAACCAGCAAGUUUGUUACGUCUCCCCACUCGCUGUGAAAAUGGAGAUACCUCUUUCUCCCUUAUUAGGGGGAGAGAGCGCCUGUAGUAUGUCGAAUACCGGAUGAAAUGCGAAGUCUUUGGGUUAACUGCAAGUCUGUGUCUUUGCUGUUGCUUUGCUCACGCUUGAGUGCUUGGUGGCAGGUGACGACGCUUUUUUGCCGUGGGGGGAGAGGGAUUGUUAUUUGCUGCCGCUUACGUGCGGGAGGGGAGCUGGGGGGGGGGACUCUGGGGUUCUAACAUUUAACUGUUGUUCAUUCCUUGAGGCAUUCCCCUGUUUUCAUGGAUGGUUGUGAAGAAAAAGCAUUUCAGGAUGUAUAUUGUAUACAUUUCUCUGACAUUAAAUGUACCUUUGAAACUUAAUUUAUAGACUGGAGAUAAAAGAGAUUGUAGACACUGGAACUAUGUCAAGCAGCUUCUACAGAGAGAAAAAAAAGUUGACUUUUGGAGUCAGGACCUAGCAUCAGAUUGUUUUUUCUGCUCAGAAGCUUUAACAAGCCGUAGACUUUAAUAGAUUUAAAUUCAUGUAGAUGAAACAAGCACGUAAAACAUUACCUAAUAACUUUUGAGGACCACAAGAUAACUGCUCUUCAAACAAAAUUACAAUCCUUGAACUUUGACAGGUGCUUACAAUAUAGGCAUAAAGGAGGAAAAUUGCUGAGGAAAUGAUUUGUAACAGAAAUUUCUGAACCUUCCUCAGUGACAUUAACAGAUGCCAAAUAAGUUCAAUGCAGGAUUUCACAAGAUUUGAAUUCUAUUUAUGCUAUCAACUGCUACAGUGGGUAGAUGACCAUGGAUGCAAACUAUGUUUAACGAC